UACGUAGGGUGCGAGCGUUAAUCGGAAUUACUGGGCGUAAAGCGUGCGCAGGCGGUCUGUUAAGACCGAUGCGAAAUCCCCGGACUAACCUGGGAACUGCAUUGGUGACUGGCAGGCUUUGAGUGUGGCAGAGGGAGGUAGAAUUCCACGUGUAGCAGUGAAAUGCGUAGAGAUGUGGAGGAAUACCGAUGGCGAAGGCAGCCUCCUGGGCCAACACUGACGCUCAUGCACGAAAGCGUGGGAGCAAACAG
rnacentral:rRNA from 1 species